CAAUAAUUUCUUCCAUUUUCAGGGGGCUUAAUCUUGCUAAUUCAUCAGCUCUGUUAUUCCAUUCUCCUGCUGGAUUCCCAUCUGUCUGCACCUUCAGUGAUUGAGAAAAUGUGACAGUAGUGUUCUAUUUGAGCAUACCAUUUUCUCACAGAGGCCCGCUGAGCAACCCCUUCUGGAGGAGGGGUCCCAGAGGUGUAUCUGCAUGCUGUGAGGCAUGGGAGAGCUGCAACAAAUAGUUGUGAUUUCUUUCCUGCUCUAAUUGUUUUUGCAAAGUUUCUACAUGAUUUGCUUCCUGCUCUAAUAGUUUUUGCAAGGCUUCUACCAAGUUUUGCAAAGAGUCUAUAACUGCCUUUUCUUCACUCACUCGUUUUAAAUGAGCUUGCACAGCUGCUGAGAGACAAGCACCUAGAACUGUGCAAAGUAUGGUUUUAUUAUUCUUGCUGAGUUUGAAUUUUGUUUCAUGUUGCAAAGAAUGUAUCCUAUCAAUCACAUUUUAUAAAUUAAACCAGUUACUGU